CUUAUGAAUACUGUUGUAUUAAAAGUCUAUAUUGAUUUUCACAAAGUUCUUGGUUGUGUCAUAUUUGAACCGAUUUGCCACUACAUAAUUGGCGAGCUUGCCAGGAGAAUUAGGGACUGAAUAACGUUCUUGGCUGGCAGCGGGAUCUUUGGACGAUCUGGGCAAACAAGGGUGGCCACCCAGCUAAGGUAAGACAACAGUGAAAUGUUUGCGUAGAUCGCUUCAGAGAUCCUGCCUCAGCAAGAGGAGCGUCAAGUAGGUCUCUCUCUCUCAAAUUUCCUAAAAACUAUAGAAACGAAAGAACUUUUUGAAAUUCAAUGAAUUUGCAUGCAUGUGUGUAAGCUUGGAAAUUGUAUAAUGAAUGUGCAUGCAUGUCUAGUGAGUAAGUAGGUGGGGGCUGUGAACUUCGCUGGUGUAGGGUGUGUUAUUCUGGCAUGUUGGGGCUGGGAUUGGGCACAGGGUUACAGCUAUCUGCUUAUAAGGUUUGAAUAAAAUAAGUAGUUAUAGAAGUCCUGCGAUACCGCUUCAAAAUAUUUACCAGAAGGUCUGAAUGGGUAGGUUACUUUAUUGAUAAGUAAUCCUGCGAUACCGCUUCAAAAUAUUUAGCUGAAGGACUGAAUGGGUAGGCUACUUUAUUGAUAAGUAGAUAGAUAAACAUUCAUGGCUACCGCUUCAAGGAAAAGGUCUGUACGGAUGAGUAUUUAGAAAAUAAAUACACAUGGCUACCGCUUUGAAAUGAAGGUCUGUACGGGUGAAUAUUUAAAACACAGAAAGAACGCUGGCCUGAUUGUGCGACGUUCAACUGAAAAAGGAAAUCCUGCGAAUAUAAAACGCUCCGUCUAGCUAAACGGGGGUUUAUAAAUCAGUAGGUCGCGCCACGAUAUUGCUCUAACGUAGAAUAAAGAUCAAUACGGGGUGGAUGAAUAGGAUAUGAAGACAAGCUGAUCCGAUUAGACAGUAGUCUCGUCAUGUCGUAAAAAUCCUAUAGGAUAAUACCAGUUUAUGUAGAGGAAGUGUAUUAAACUAGGGGAUAAACUAUAGGUCGUUUUUAGGUAAAAACGAAGGGUAUGCGUGAAAAAUCCUAUAGGAUAAUACCAGCUUAUGUAGAGGAAGUGAAUUAAGUUAGGUAAUAAACUGUUUUGUUUUUAGGUAAAGACAAAAGGAUUGAAUGAAUGCUGUAAUAUAAUUAUUUGUGAUGAAUGAGCAGAUUAGAAAGAAGAGGAAGAACAGGCUGUGUGUCUGUGACCAACUGGGAAUGCGCAGGCCUCUCUGACAGUUAACUAAGUGUAAUUUGAGAAAGAGAGCGCAUUUAACUCUCACUGGGAAGAGGAACGAAAUCGAUAAAUAUUGGGCAAGAUAAGUUAUACAUAAGCAUAAAACAUUGACUGGAUAAUGAGUUAAAAGACCAUUGUAAAAAUUACAAUAGGUGUUAAAAAGAGGUAUUAAACAAGGCAUGGAUAGUAUAAAACGGAUGCGAAGUAGGAAGAAAUAACUUAAAAAUAUACAGAUAAACUAAAAUAUACUGGUUAAAAUAAAUCUAGGCAAAAGUGAGAAUUGCAUGAAAAUAGAAGUCUAGAACACAUUAAAAAUAUCACGAGCCCUGUAAACGAAAUAGGAGGCUGCAAUUUAAAAAUAGCCUCAGGAAUUAAACAGUAAAAUAGGCUAAGAGAGAAUAUAGCAAGCGGAUAAAUAAAGAGAUAAGAAAGUGCAGACAUUAUAAAUAAGCUGAAUUAGAAGGAAAAUUAUAUGAAAUAGGAUUUAAUACAUUGAAUAAAGUUAAAGUAAUAGUAUAAGCAAAGAUAAAAACACAGUGAUAUUUGAGGUGCUGUACUAGAAUAAGACAUUAAGGCUUCUGUAGUAUUCAGUAAUACAGUUGUAGACAUUAUAGAGUAGGUUUUAAUAGGAGGUAUUAAGUGAUGUGACUAAUAAAUUAUUAUUUGAGAAAGUAGGGUAGAUCUACCUUGGAAAAUAGUAAAUAAAGUAUAUAAUGCGAUGGGAGAGUUUAGGAAAAAUAAAUAGUGGCAUGGAAACAAAUGGACUGUUUCUCCCGGGAAUAUAGAGAUAGCGAAAUUUAAUAAAGCCAUAGAGUCGCUGAAAGAAGCGCACGUUAAUUCUACCAAUUCGAUUUGAAUAUGAAGGAGCGGUUUGCUACAAUGUAGGGCAACAUUACCCGGUAAACAGGAUAAAUAAAAUAAUGAAUUGGAACGAUCACAUAAAACUAUAACAAGAAGCUUAACUUACCAGCGUUUUAAUGUUAAUUAACAUUAUAUCAUCAGAAAUACAUUACGAUGGGGGAAGUGUAAGAAGUUGUAGAGCAGGGCUAACUAGUGUGGGGGAAAAUUAGUGUAAGAUGACACUGGAAUGCGAUAGCAGAGAAUGCAGAAAUACAGGAAUUUACACCCGUUUUAAAAGAACAACAACUGAUCGUUCUAAGGUUAGUACGAAUGAAGUUUUCACCAAGCGGUGUAUAGUCUCUGAUUAAUCAAAAAGUGGUUCAUAGAGAGUACAGUUUAUGUGAUGAAAUACGUACUAGAUCACGUUUUACCUAACUUAUAGUAAGGUACCGAUGUAAUUUACAAAUAGCCCCACUCGGAGUCGUUUUGCAUUAAAAUGGCGGUUUCAGUGGUGAUAAAAUGCGUGGAGAAGUUGUUAUUAGCGUCAAAAUACGGAAAAUAAACGUAUAUGAAAAAUCACAAGCGUGGUAAAAAUAGUUAGAAGAAAAGCAAAUUGUAGAGUAUGGGUGUAUUCAAUUUCUAAGGGUAGGAUACAGAUGGCCGAGCAGGGGGGAAUUGUGCGUUCUGUGUAUGGCUGGAGCUUCUGUCGCAUGCUCGGGAAAUGUAAGGGGAUUUUAGUAUAUGUAAUACUAUUAGCUUGCUGAUUUAGAGGGUGGCAUGGUGAAUGUUAACGAAAUGUACAUUUCUUUUCCAGAAAAAAAGGGGUUACAUGUUCUCUGGUCAAAAUGUCAUUGGAAACUGUAGUACUGAGGAAAGCAGUUAGAGAUAUUUUGGCCACUAAAAAUCUUAGUAUCUGGUUAAGGCUAUAACUGGAGUUUCGGAUAAGUGAGGCCGGCUCAUGUGUAUUCUUGGCCUAUAUGCGAUAGUGGGUUUCCUUUGGAAGGGUUUUUUCAGUUCAGUUUCAAAUUGGGUAUGCAGAAGGAUGGAAAUGUUUUUGAAAAUGUAUUUGGGUUGUUUCUAAAGAAAGGAGAGUGGAAACAUUUUAAUGGUGUCAAAUGCCCUGAACCCUAAGAAUUUCCCUUGAAGAUUGAUCAACUUCACUAGAAAUUGUUGGAACAAGUGGGAUUUAAUUAUAAAAUGAUUGAGAAACACCAGUCUCUAUUCAAAGUGUACAAUCACUUUGAAAUUCCAUUAUUUCCUUGGGAAAAAGAUGAAGAGUUGUAAUCUUGAAUUGACUAGUUAUUCAAAUAGGUUUAUUUUUAUUUAACAUGGGGUUAUAGGAGAACAUAUCAGUUCCCUGGGGUUAUGGUCUUUGGGUAAAUACAAAAUGUGCUUUGUUCAUGCUACAUAUAAAAUGGAAAUAUAUGUAAACAAGGGAUAACAGUUACUCCAAAUAGGUUAUUGGAGUGGGGGUUUCUGCAAGGGUUAUGAUGAUAACUACAUAAUCUGUAACUCAUCUGAGAGAUCGCUAGUAGAAUAAGGGAGUUAUCAUGGAAAUGUAAUGUCAGACUGCAUUAAUGCUUGGGAGAGACUAUCAUAACACCAAGUGGGUGUGAAACUCAAACCCACCCUACUGGCUGAAUAGUGUGGGACAACUGUGUCUGAUGACCUGUGAACUGUAUCUGGAAUGAUAUGUACUGGGAGAAGAAAGACUAAAGGGGAUUGGGAUAAUGACCUUUUAUUACUAGGCCACUCAUGACAGAAAAACAGAGGUAAAAGGGUGCAUGGUAAAAUAGAUAUUACUGGUACUAAAAGUUUUUAGUAAAAUGUUAAUUAUUAAAGGGAUGAUGAAUUGAAUUGAGAAGGUCAAAUUUGAGUUAAAGUAAGCACUAAGGACUGUUAUUUUGAAUAUUGGGUUGGACAAUUAAUAAACAACAUUUAGUUAUGUUUUGAAUAUAGGACUGUUUAAAUUUACUAGGCCUAGGGAAGCUCUGGAAACUAAUCCUGAGACAGGUUGAUUGACAGAACUUGCAGAAUAUUAAAUUAAAGGUUUUUGUUUCUUUUAUUUUACAAUAUCAUUGUAAUUGGAGUAAUAAGUAAUUUAAUAAAAAGUAUAGUCUGUUGUGUGAUAACACCCAAGGAUGAAGAAGACAUUACAAAUAGUGGUAAUUUAUAGCAAAUAUGCAGUUAUUAUAAUUUACUUUACCAUUUUUCUUGUUUGGUCAAUUUAUUUUUGGUUUGAGGAAAAUAAGAGUGUAUAUUUUUCCUGAGGAGGGACUGAUAUAAAUUGACUAAAAAUGAUUUGAGAAUGUUUAAGUAUGUAUCAAACUAUGGAAGGAAAUUAGAAGUAGUGACUUAUGUGUUAUGGGUUAGAAAAACUGUAACUACAUUGGGGGCUCAUAUGAAGGUUAUGGUAACAAGGGGGGGUGUUAUUUCUAGAAACAGUGUAUAUUGAUAGACAAGAUAAUUCACAGAAAAGGAAGGACAGUUGGUCUUGUAAAAAUAUAGGGACAAUUCUAAAAGUAGAUAGAACAUUACACACACCUAGAUUAUGGUAAAAGUAAUAAGUAGUGGCAUUUUGAAGAAGCUUAGGACUUAGUUUUGUUAGGAUUGGAUAUUCUUCCAACUAGAAAACACUUGACUGAUUACAUGCAAUUCUUGCAGCAGUUACGGUAGGGACCAUAAUUUGGCUAUCAUUAUGAAUAUUUUUGUGGCAGGAGGCCAGGUAUUUAAGACAGAAUGUUUACAUAGGGCUGUUAUUUAAAAAUUAAGAUUUAGUGAUCCUGCUAUAAGAAGAAAGUCUGUUGUCAGGAAAUAACCCAUGUGUUAGUGUGUAUGUCCUCAGGAAAAAACAGCACAUAAGAGGCCAGAUGGAAGGGCAUAGGCUGAAUUCUGGAGACUGAGUGUACAUCAAGAUACAUCGGGCUGGGGAUAUACUUCUUACAGCACCUGCAGUGGUAAAGAUUGUCAUGUCUCUCUUUGGUGGGUGCAUAAGUCUCACAAGAAGUAAAGUCCAGCUGAAUAAUGGGUGAGCUUGAAAACACCAUGACAGAGGACGUGAAACAAACAAAAGAGAGAGACUAGAUUCUACUGUAGACAUACUGGGUUGAGUUUGGGGGUUAUUUGUUUUAUUUGAUAAUGUAUCAUGUGAAUAAGGAUAUAUGUUAGGGUAGUUGUACUCUAAACCACAUGUUGAAGGCUCAAUGUGGAAGCCCAUUCCGUGUUGAAUUACUUUAAGAAGCAAUAAUGUUGAUUUAAGGUUAUGCACAUGUUUAUCAGUUGAAACAGAGCAGAUGGGGAACUAAGUAAAAAAUGACAUGGUUUGGGAACACCUCUCAGAACCUGCGGCCGAAAGGGGAAGACUGGAUGAAAGCACGAGGAAGCCAAUUAGGGCCUCCAUUUUUGUGGAGUCCAGCAGAAAAGUAUCCUGGAGGCAUAGAGUCAGGUGAAGAGAGAGUGGGAAUUGUCAUGGUCUCAGAUUUCAGUAUUCAUUAAUACAGUCAUGCAUAACACAUAACAUUGUCAAUACUGUUAUGUUUUGUCCUUUGUUUUCCAAGUCUUAUGUUUAGGAAACCAGAUGGAGAAGUGUUCUCCAGCUUCAGCUGGAAUGUCAGUUUGUGUGAUGAGUGAUGGAAGUAAGAGAAUGUAUGGUGUAAUCAUAGAACAGAGGCCAUAAGUCUCUAAGUAUGAAUGCCCCACAGAAAGAAGGCAGAAAUCUGAACCAGGAUGAGAGGUUCCACAUCUGAUGAUCCAAGGGGACCAGAAGGAUCUCUCCCAGUGAUACCAGGAGAUCGAGUCUACGUUUGAGUGUUCCGAAGGAAGUGGGAUCAGCCGAGGAGGGAAGGACCCUACGAGGUGGCAACAGCCACAAACACGGCCGUCCAAGUGAAAGGAAGCAAGACGUGGUAUCAUCUAAACCACUGCACCCGAGUCCCGACGGAGAGAAGGACACAACCAUACAGAGAUGAGGACACAGAGGAUGCUGAUUCACCAGAAGGGACCCCGGAGGGAGCAGGAGCAGCGGAAUCGAUCAAAGCGCCGGGGAGGAAUCAAGAAAAUGGCAGACCAGAUACAACGAGUGCAUCGGCUAACACACUCAGAAGAACCGACCAGGGAAAAAGAGCCUGAAAAGAAAAGAGACAAACAACCAAAGUUUCCUCCAGUAUGGCCAGAAAGCCCAGAAGUGGGAGGGGGUAACAUGUCUGCCACUCCUGAUGAUAUACUUGUUGGGGCAGGCUUUGUUGACGGAAGCCUUCUACAGUGGGACCCCGAGGUAUCGCCUAAAGAAGGGGAACAUCUCUUCCCUGAAAUGGACGCCUUCCCAGAUGGAAGCCCAGUUCGGGCUGAGGAGGGAACAACAUGCGAAGAGAGUGGAGGAGAAGCCUUAUCAGGAACAACAAGUGAAGAAAGCAGAGGAGAAGCCUUACCAAGAGCAGAAGGAGAAAUCUUGCAAGAUGAAAGAAAUGGGGAUUUCCCCAAAAUUGACUUUUCAGCUCUUGAAUUGUCUCCAUAAUGAACAAUUGAAGUUAGACCCAUAGAAGAACAAUGAUAUUGACAUAACAGAAGUAACAGUGAACGCUAGAAUAGCAACAACAGACUCACGCACAAUCAAGAUGUAGGGUGGAAACAGGAAGAGAAGAGAGGAACCAGUCAAACAAUCUAAAAAGACUGACAAGGUUAGAAUCUCUGUCCCACCUCAACAUAUAACUGAAACAGAAGAAUAGAAGACAAAAGGAUCAAACCCUUACCGGAGAUUGCAUUCGGUGGAUGGACAUAUCAUCGAACGAAGAGAGAAGUCAUUUGGGACUCAAAAGGAUGUGACCUGACGUUAACCAAAGAAGUAGACGAGUGGGUGCUCACCAUGAAUCAGAUUGAACCAGUUGAAGGUGAAGAAUUAAUAGGUGAAAUAAUGAGAACAAGAUUGGCUGAAGGGAGUAGUUCCUCAGUCAUUCAGAAUUGGUCUUACGCCAAUACCUAAACAGGAAGAGCCUGUGGUAGCUAGAAAGCAUCAGAACCAGGAGGGUUCUUUACUGACAUUUUGAACUUUUUGACUAACUGUAAUGACCUACCUCAAGAUAAGAACAUUGCAAAGAUGACAGACACAGACAUACCAGACUCUGAACCACUCAAGGACACCACAUGAAAUGAAUAGUGAAGAAUGAGUGGUACGAUUAGGCUAAGUAUACAGCAGAAAUAAACAUAGGAGGGACAAUUGUAUUUUGUGUAGAAAAUCACCUUUGUCUGAUCUUUUGAUAGUACCUGAACCUGCAUCAUUUGAAGAAUGCGUUAAAUGUAAAAUGUUCAAUAUUCAGAGAAAAUACUACAUUCCCUUGUGUGACAUAGAAUGUAGGAUUGCUCGAGGGAGCACUAGAGGCAGAACCAUAUUAAAUUAGACUGGGUUGGGAGUUCAAGGCAAGAGAUGAAGUUAAAUCUGGAUUUGAAUCUUAAUUUUUGUGGAUAACAUCAAAUAAGAACUUAGAGUGGAUUAAUUACAUAUACUAUAACCAACAGAGAUUCAUUAACUAUACUGACUCGGCUUUAACGGCGUUGGGGGAAUAGGUACAGGAUACCAGUAAAAUGUCUUGCCAAAAUAGACAGGCUCUCAAUUGGCUUUUUGCAGAGAAGGGUGGAGUUUGUUAUGUUCGGGGAUGAUUGUUGCACCUUUAUUCCCAAUAACACUGCGCCUAAUGGAUUCUUUGCUGUCGCUAUGGCUAAACUUAAAGGGUUAAGAAAAGAGGUUAAGAAAAAUGCUGGGGUGGACUCUCAUGUUUGGGAUUGGUUGGACUUAGCAUUGGGGAAAUAGGGAGCCAUGUUUGCUAGGACGGCCUUUAUGCUGGAAGGGGGGUUAUUGGCUCUGGGUAUUGUAUUUUGUUGUGUUUUACCCUGGGUGAAAUCACUUGUGAUCCAGACAACGGUUAAACAGAUGUUUGUAAGUAGAGCUGACACUCCGGUGAUAGUUGAUCCUGUGCCGGGUAGGCCAGGCCACUAUACUGAUGAAAAUGGACAGUUAUGCUGUCAUUCCAAAUUCAUAAGAAAGUCAACUGAUGCAUAUCCACAAAAAGGGUCAUUUCCGUAGUAAGUACAAGAGGUGUUAUGUAAGGUCUACUUUUGCUCACGGCCUUGUGUUUUAGUAUGUUUUGUCAAAUGUUUUUAUAGGUAUAUCAAUGAAUAUAUCUGGUUUCUUUUAAUUAAAAGUUAGUUUUGCCUUCUAAAAUGCUAGGUUAUAUUUAAAAACAUGUAGGUAACAGUGGGAUAUCCCGGUUACAAGUGUCUACGGACCAUGUCCUUAAUCUUCUAACAGAGAUUGGUAUUGAUGGUAUCACGGUUGUUGGAGAGGUGUCUGAGAGGGAGAAUCAUGUGGAAAGCUUAAAUUUAGAAUGAUGUGUCAAUUUUAUUUUGUAACUGCAUGGAGGCCUAGUGUUUUCUCAUAUUCAAUUUAUUAUUUGACUCAUUGCUUUAUUAUAUAUAUUUUUAUUUUUUGCGUAGCUGAGAACCUCAGACAAGGUUAUGUAUUUACAUGCUCAUGCUUUAACAAAAGAUAAUGUAUUAUUUUUUGUUUCUAUACCGAACUAGAUAUUUUACUCUUAUGAAAUACUAGAGAUGUUUGGUGUAGGUGAUUAGGAAGUUUUAUUUUUUAAUUAUUUUUUAUUUUUUUAUUUAAAAAUAUUUUUUUUGAUAAUCGACUGUUGAUAUUAUGUUCCAUAUGUCCUUUUUAAGUUUUUGGUGCUUAUUAAAGCACCAGAGGGGGGUUAUGUGGGAGAAAUUAGGUACAUAUAUGGAUAAAUAUAUUGUCCUAUAUAAUGGCAUUUGCCAUUCUGGUAAGGUACAUUGUCUAUUGUAUAGGACAGGAAGCCAGAGUGGGGCCAUGGGAGAGGGCAACACCUAGGGCAGCUGGACAUACAAAGGUCAGAGGUUAUCUAAGGAGGGGGUCAGCCAAAGGACCAAUUGAUGGAUUACAGACAUCAAUCACAUCACAGGAGACAAGUCUGUUUGAUCUUAGACAACCAUAUGAAGAGAAGGCGACCAGAACAGCUAGGCACCCUAAAGCUAAAGGAGAUGAAAGACACCAAAAGGGACACAUGGAGUUAAUUACAGGGUAUGAACACAGGCCACAGGAAAGGGGAAUGUAUAGUAUUUUUAGUAUAGCUGAGCAUGCUAAAAACAGAAGAGACACAUAGUGUGCUGACCCUAGAUAACACACAAACAGGAGAACGCAUUAAGCUGAGUGAAGGGUCAAAGCAAGGGUCUUGUCACCAUUAGGAUCUAAUGGAAAGCAGAUGGGGGUGUUAUUGGGCUGAACAAGCAGGAAGCACGGAUUGGGAUGUAACUUAAUUUGCAUAUGGGAGGGACUUAUAUGGUAGGUGUAUAACUCAGAGCGAGGGCUCUGAAAAAGUGUGUGUGUUCCGCGGACCGCUCCGGCUUAUGAUACUGUUGUAUUAAAAGUCUAUAUUGAUUUUCACAAAGUUCUUGGUUGUGUCAUAUUUGAACCGAUUUGCCACUACAUAAUUGGCGAGCUUGCCAGGAGAAUUAGGGACUGAAUAACGUUCUUGGCUGGCAGCGGGAUCUUUGGACGAUCUGGGCAAACAAGGGUGGCCACCCAGCUAAGGUAAGACAACAGUGAAAUGUUUGCGUAGAUCGCUUCAGAGAUCCUGCCUCAGCAAGAGGAGCGUCAAGUAGGUCUCUCUCUCUCAAAUUUCCUAAAAACUAUAGAAACGAAAGAACUUUUUGAAAUUCAAUGAAUUUGCAUGCAUGUGUGUAAGCUUGGAAAUUGUAUAAUGAAUGUGCAUGCAUGUCUAGUGAGUAAGUAGGUGGGGGCUGUGAACUUCGCUGGUGUAGGGUGUGUUAUUCUGGCAUGUUGGGGCUGGGAUUGGGCACAGGGUUACAGCUAUCUGCUUAUAAGGUUUGAAUAAAAUAAGUAGUUAUAGAAGUCCUGCGAUACCGCUUCAAAAUAUUUACCAGAAGGUCUGAAUGGGUAGGUUACUUUAUUGAUAAGUAAUCCUGCGAUACCGCUUCAAAAUAUUUAGCUGAAGGACUGAAUGGGUAGGCUACUUUAUUGAUAAGUAGAUAGAUAAACAUUCAUGGCUACCGCUUCAAGGAAAAGGUCUGUACGGAUGAGUAUUUAGAAAAUAAAUACACAUGGCUACCGCUUUGAAAUGAAGGUCUGUACGGGUGAAUAUUUAAAACACAGAAAGAACGCUGGCCUGAUUGUGCGACGUUCAACUGAAAAAGGAAAUCCUGCGAAUAUAAAACGCUCCGUCUAGCUAAACGGGGGUUUAUAAAUCAGUAGGUCGCGCCACGAUAUUGCUCUAACGUAGAAUAAAGAUCAAUACGGGGUGGAUGAAUAGGAUAUGAAGACAAGCUGAUCCGAUUAGACAGUAGUCUCGUCAUGUCGUAAAAAUCCUAUAGGAUAAUACCAGUUUAUGUAGAGGAAGUGUAUUAAACUAGGGGAUAAACUAUAGGUCGUUUUUAGGUAAAAACGAAGGGUAUGCGUGAAAAAUCCUAUAGGAUAAUACCAGCUUAUGUAGAGGAAGUGAAUUAAGUUAGGUAAUAAACUGUUUUGUUUUUAGGUAAAGACAAAAGGAUUGAAUGAAUGCUGUAAUAUAAUUAUUUGUGAUGAAUGAGCAGAUUAGAAAGAAGAGGAAGAACAGGCUGUGUGUCUGUGACCAACUGGGAAUGCGCAGGCCUCUCUGACAGUUAACUAAGUGUAAUUUGAGAAAGAGAGCGCAUUUAACUCUCACUGGGAAGAGGAACGAAAUCGAUAAAUAUUGGGCAAGAUAAGUUAUACAUAAGCAUAAAACAUUGACUGGAUAAUGAGUUAAAAGACCAUUGUAAAAAUUACAAUAGGUGUUAAAAAGAGGUAUUAAACAAGGCAUGGAUAGUAUAAAACGGAUGCGAAGUAGGAAGAAAUAACUUAAAAAUAUACAGAUAAACUAAAAUAUACUGGUUAAAAUAAAUCUAGGCAAAAGUGAGAAUUGCAUGAAAAUAGAAGUCUAGAACACAUUAAAAAUAUCACGAGCCCUGUAAACGAAAUAGGAGGCUGCAAUUUAAAAAUAGCCUCAGGAAUUAAACAGUAAAAUAGGCUAAGAGAGAAUAUAGCAAGCGGAUAAAUAAAGAGAUAAGAAAGUGCAGACAUUAUAAAUAAGCUGAAUUAGAAGGAAAAUUAUAUGAAAUAGGAUUUAAUACAUUGAAUAAAGUUAAAGUAAUAGUAUAAGCAAAGAUAAAAACACAGUGAUAUUUGAGGUGCUGUACUAGAAUAAGACAUUAAGGCUUCUGUAGUAUUCAGUAAUACAGUUGUAGACAUUAUAGAGUAGGUUUUAAUAGGAGGUAUUAAGUGAUGUGACUAAUAAAUUAUUAUUUGAGAAAGUAGGGUAGAUCUACCUUGGAAAAUAGUAAAUAAAGUAUAUAAUGCGAUGGGAGAGUUUAGGAAAAAUAAAUAGUGGCAUGGAAACAAAUGGACUGUUUCUCCCGGGAAUAUAGAGAUAGCGAAAUUUAAUAAAGCCAUAGAGUCGCUGAAAGAAGCGCACGUUAAUUCUACCAAUUCGAUUUGAAUAUGAAGGAGCGGUUUGCUACAAUGUAGGGCAACAUUACCCGGUAAACAGGAUAAAUAAAAUAAUGAAUUGGAACGAUCACAUAAAACUAUAACAAGAAGCUUAACUUACCAGCGUUUUAAUGUUAAUUAACAUUAUAUCAUCAGAAAUACAUUACGAUGGGGGAAGUGUAAGAAGUUGUAGAGCAGGGCUAACUAGUGUGGGGGAAAAUUAGUGUAAGAUGACACUGGAAUGCGAUAGCAGAGAAUGCAGAAAUACAGGAAUUUACACCCGUUUUAAAAGAACAACAACUGAUCGUUCUAAGGUUAGUACGAAUGAAGUUUUCACCAAGCGGUGUAUAGUCUCUGAUUAAUCAAAAAGUGGUUCAUAGAGAGUACAGUUUAUGUGAUGAAAUACGUACUAGAUCACGUUUUACCUAACUUAUAGUAAGGUACCGAUGUAAUUUACAAAUAGCCCCACUCGGAGUCGUUUUGCAUUAAAAUGGCGGUUUCAGUGGUGAUAAAAUGCGUGGAGAAGUUGUUAUUAGCGUCAAAAUACGGAAAAUAAACGUAUAUGAAAAAUCACAAGCGUGGUAAAAAUAGUUAGAAGAAAAGCAAAUUGUAGAGUAUGGGUGUAUUCAAUUUCUAAGGGUAGGAUACAGAUGGCCGAGCAGGGGGGAAUUGUGCGUUCUGUGUAUGGCUGGAGCUUCUGUCGCAUGCUCGGGAAAUGUAAGGGGAUUUUAGUAUAUGUAAUACUAUUAGCUUGCUGAUUUAGAGGGUGGCAUGGUGAAUGUUAACGAAAUGUACAUUUCUUUUCCAGAAAAAAAGGGGUUACAUGUUCUCUGGUCAAAAUGUCAUUGGAAACUGUAGUACUGAGGAAAGCAGUUAGAGAUAUUUUGGCCACUAAAAAUCUUAGUAUCUGGUUAAGGCUAUAACUGGAGUUUCGGAUAAGUGAGGCCGGCUCAUGUGUAUUCUUGGCCUAUAUGCGAUAGUGGGUUUCCUUUGGAAGGGUUUUUUCAGUUCAGUUUCAAAUUGGGUAUGCAGAAGGAUGGAAAUGUUUUUGAAAAUGUAUUUGGGUUGUUUCUAAAGAAAGGAGAGUGGAAACAUUUUAAUGGUGUCAAAUGCCCUGAACCCUAAGAAUUUCCCUUGAAGAUUGAUCAACUUCACUAGAAAUUGUUGGAACAAGUGGGAUUUAAUUAUAAAAUGAUUGAGAAACACCAGUCUCUAUUCAAAGUGUACAAUCACUUUGAAAUUCCAUUAUUUCCUUGGGAAAAAGAUGAAGAGUUGUAAUCUUGAAUUGACUAGUUAUUCAAAUAGGUUUAUUUUUAUUUAACAUGGGGUUAUAGGAGAACAUAUCAGUUCCCUGGGGUUAUGGUCUUUGGGUAAAUACAAAAUGUGCUUUGUUCAUGCUACAUAUAAAAUGGAAAUAUAUGUAAACAAGGGAUAACAGUUACUCCAAAUAGGUUAUUGGAGUGGGGGUUUCUGCAAGGGUUAUGAUGAUAACUACAUAAUCUGUAACUCAUCUGAGAGAUCGCUAGUAGAAUAAGGGAGUUAUCAUGGAAAUGUAAUGUCAGACUGCAUUAAUGCUUGGGAGAGACUAUCAUAACACCAAGUGGGUGUGAAACUCAAACCCACCCUACUGGCUGAAUAGUGUGGGACAACUGUGUCUGAUGACCUGUGAACUGUAUCUGGAAUGAUAUGUACUGGGAGAAGAAAGACUAAAGGGGAUUGGGAUAAUGACCUUUUAUUACUAGGCCACUCAUGACAGAAAAACAGAGGUAAAAGGGUGCAUGGUAAAAUAGAUAUUACUGGUACUAAAAGUUUUUAGUAAAAUGUUAAUUAUUAAAGGGAUGAUGAAUUGAAUUGAGAAGGUCAAAUUUGAGUUAAAGUAAGCACUAAGGACUGUUAUUUUGAAUAUUGGGUUGGACAAUUAAUAAACAACAUUUAGUUAUGUUUUGAAUAUAGGACUGUUUAAAUUUACUAGGCCUAGGGAAGCUCUGGAAACUAAUCCUGAGACAGGUUGAUUGACAGAACUUGCAGAAUAUUAAAUUAAAGGUUUUUGUUUCUUUUAUUUUACAAUAUCAUUGUAAUUGGAGUAAUAAGUAAUUUAAUAAAAAGUAUAGUCUGUUGUGUGAUAACACCCAAGGAUGAAGAAGACAUUACAAAUAGUGGUAAUUUAUAGCAAAUAUGCAGUUAUUAUAAUUUACUUUACCAUUUUUCUUGUUUGGUCAAUUUAUUUUUGGUUUGAGGAAAAUAAGAGUGUAUAUUUUUCCUGAGGAGGGACUGAUAUAAAUUGACUAAAAAUGAUUUGAGAAUGUUUAAGUAUGUAUCAAACUAUGGAAGGAAAUUAGAAGUAGUGACUUAUGUGUUAUGGGUUAGAAAAACUGUAACUACAUUGGGGGCUCAUAUGAAGGUUAUGGUAACAAGGGGGGGUGUUAUUUCUAGAAACAGUGUAUAUUGAUAGACAAGAUAAUUCACAGAAAAGGAAGGACAGUUGGUCUUGUAAAAAUAUAGGGACAAUUCUAAAAGUAGAUAGAACAUUACACACACCUAGAUUAUGGUAAAAGUAAUAAGUAGUGGCAUUUUGAAGAAGCUUAGGACUUAGUUUUGUUAGGAUUGGAUAUUCUUCCAACUAGAAAACACUUGACUGAUUACAUGCAAUUCUUGCAGCAGUUACGGUAGGGACCAUAAUUUGGCUAUCAUUAUGAAUAUUUUUGUGGCAGGAGGCCAGGUAUUUAAGACAGAAUGUUUACAUAGGGCUGUUAUUUAAAAAUUAAGAUUUAGUGAUCCUGCUAUAAGAAGAAAGUCUGUUGUCAGGAAAUAACCCAUGUGUUAGUGUGUAUGUCCUCAGGAAAAAACAGCACAUAAGAGGCCAGAUGGAAGGGCAUAGGCUGAAUUCUGGAGACUGAGUGUACAUCAAGAUACAUCGGGCUGGGGAUAUACUUCUUACAGCACCUGCAGUGGUAAAGAUUGUCAUGUCUCUCUUUGGUGGGUGCAUAAGUCUCACAAGAAGUAAAGUCCAGCUGAAUAAUGGGUGAGCUUGAAAACACCAUGACAGAGGACGUGAAACAAAACAAAAGAGAGAGACUAGAUUCUACUGUAGACAUACUGGGUUGAGUUUGGGGGUUAUUUGUUUUAUUUGAUAAUGUAUCAUGUGAAUAAGGAUAUAUGUUAGGGUAGUUGUACUCUAAACCACAUGUUGAAGGCUCAAUGUGGAAGCCCAUUCCGUGUUGAAUUACUUUAAGAAGCAAUAAUGUUGAUUUAAGGUUAUGCACAUGUUUAUCAGUUGAAACAGAGCAGAUGGGGAACUAAGUAAAAAAUGACAUGGUUUGGGAACACCUCUCAGAACCUGCGGCCGAAAGGGGAAGACUGGAUGAAAGCACGAGGAAGCCAAUUAGGGCCUCCAUUUUUGUGGAGUCCAGCAGAAAAGUAUCCUGGAGGCAUAGAGUCAGGUGAAGAGAGAGUGGGAAUUGUCAUGGUCUCAGAUUUCAGUAUUCAUUAAUACAGUCAUGCAUAACACAUAACAUUGUCAAUACUGUUAUGUUUUGUCCUUUGUUUUCCAAGUCUUAUGUUUAGGAAACCAGAUGGAGAAGUGUUCUCCAGCUUCAGCUGGAAUGUCAGUUUGUGUGAUGAGUGAUGGAAGUAAGAGAAUGUAUGGUGUAAUCAUAGAACAGAGGCCAUAAGUCUCUAAGUAUGAAUGCCCCACAGAAAGAAGGCAGAAAUCUGAACCAGGAUGAGAGGUUCCACAUCUGAUGAUCCAAGGGGACCAGAAGGAUCUCUCCCAGUGAUACCAGGAGAUCGAGUCUACGUUUGAGUGUUCCGAAGGAAGUGGGAUCAGCCGAGGAGGGAAGGACCCUACGAGGUGGCAACAGCCACAAACACGGCCGUCCAAGUGAAAGGAAGCAAGACGUGGUAUCAUCUAAACCACUGCACCCGAGUCCCGACGGAGAGAAGGACACAACCAUACAGAGAUGAGGACACAGAGGAUGCUGAUUCACCAGAAGGGACCCCGGAGGGAGCAGGAGCAGCGGAAUCGAUCAAAGCGCCGGGGAGGAAUCAAGAAAAUGGCAGACCAGAUACAACGAGUGCAUCGGCUAACACACUCAGAAGAACCGACCAGGGAAAAAGAGCCUGAAAAGAAAAGAGACAAACAACCAAAGUUUCCUCCAGUAUGGCCAGAAAGCCCAGAAGUGGGAGGGGGUAACAUGUCUGCCACUCCUGAUGAUAUACUUGUUGGGGCAGGCUUUGUUGACGGAAGCCUUCUACAGUGGGACCCCGAGGUAUCGCCUAAAGAAGGGGAACAUCUCUUCCCUGAAAUGGACGCCUUCCCAGAUGGAAGCCCAGUUCGGGCUGAGGAGGGAACAACAUGCGAAGAGAGUGGAGGAGAAGCCUUAUCAGGAACAACAAGUGAAGAAAGCAGAGGAGAAGCCUUACCAAGAGCAGAAGGAGAAAUCUUGCAAGAUGAAAGAAAUGGGGAUUUCCCCAAAAUUGACUUUUCAGCUCUUGAAUUGUCUCCAUAAUGAACAAUUGAAGUUAGACCCAUAGAAGAACAAUGAUAUUGACAUAACAGAAGUAACAGUGAACGCUAGAAUAGCAACAACAGACUCACGCACAAUCAAGAUGUAGGGUGGAAACAGGAAGAGAAGAGAGGAACCAGUCAAACAAUCUAAAAAGACUGACAAGGUUAGAAUCUCUGUCCCACCUCAACAUAUAACUGAAACAGAAGAAUAGAAGACAAAAGGAUCAAACCCUUACCGGAGAUUGCAUUCGGUGGAUGGACAUAUAAUCGAACGAAGAGAGAAGUCAUUUGGGACUCAAAAGGAUGUGACCUGACGUUAACCAAAGAAGUAGACGAGUGGGUGCUCACCAUGAAUCAGAUUGAACCAGUUGAAGGUGAAGAAUUAAUAGGUGAAAUAAUGAGAACAAGAUUGGCUGAAGGGAGUAGUUCCUCAGUCAUUCAGAAUUGGUCUUACGCCAAUACCUAAACAGGAAGAGCCUGUGGUAGCUAGAAAGCAUCAGAACCAGGAGGGUUCUUUACUGACAUUUUGAACUUUUUGACUAACUUUAAUGACCUACCUCAAGAUAAGAACAUUGCAAAGAUGACAGACACAGACAUACCAGACUCUGAACCACUCAAGGACACCACAUGAAAUGAAUAGUGAAGAAUGAGUGGUACGAUUAGGCUAAGUAUACAGCAGAAAUAAACAUAGGAGGGACAAUUGUAUUUUGUGUAGAAAAUCACCUUUGUCUGAUCUUUUGAUAGUACCUGAACCUGCAUCAUUUGAAGAAUGCGUUAAAUGUAAAAUGUUCAAUAUUCAGAGAAAAUACUACAUUCCCUUGUGUGACAUAGAAUGUAGGAUUGCUCGAGGGAGCACUAGAGGCAGAACCAUAUUAAAUUAGACUGGGUUGGGAGUUCAAGGCAAGAGAUGAAGUUAAAUCUGGAUUUGAAUCUUAAUUUUUGUGGAUAACAUCAAAUAAGAACUUAGAGUGGAUUAAUUACAUAUACUAUAACCAACAGAGAUUCAUUAACUAUACUGACUCGGCUUUAACGGCGUUGGGGGAAUAGGUACAGGAUACCAGUAAAAUGUCUUGCCAAAAUAGACAGGCUCUCAAUUGGCUUUUUGCAGAGAAGGGUGGAGUUUGUUAUGUUCGGGGAUGAUUGUUGCACCUUUAUUCCCAAUAACACUGCGCCUAAUGGAUUCUUUGCUGUCGCUAUGGCUAAACUUAAAGGGUUAAGAAAAGAGGUUAAGAAAAAUGCUGGGGUGGACUCUCAUGUUUGGGAUUGGUUGGACUUAGCAUUGGGGAAAUAGGGAGCCAUGUUUGCUAGGACGGCCUUUAUGCUGGAAGGGGGGUUAUUGGCUCUGGGUAUUGUAUUUUGUUGUGUUUUACCCUGGGUGAAAUCACUUGUGAUCCAGACAACGGUUAAACAGAUGUUUGUAAGUAGAGCUGACACUCCGGUGAUAGUUGAUCCUGUGCCGGGUAGGCCAGGCCACUAUACUGAUGAAAAUGGACAGUUAUGCUGUCAUUCCAAAUUCAUAAGAAAGUCAACUGAUGCAUAUCCACAAAAAGGGUCAUUUCCGUAGUAAGUACAAGAGGUGUUAUGUAAGGUCUACUUUUGCUCACGGCCUUGUGUUUUAGUAUGUUUUGUCAAAUGUUUUUAUAGGUAUAUCAAUGAAUAUAUCUGGUUUCUUUUAAUUAAAAGUUAGUUUUGCCUUCUAAAAUGCUAGGUUAUAUUUAAAAACAUGUAGGUAACAGUGGGAUAUCCCGGUUACAAGUGUCUACGGACCAUGUCCUUAAUCUUCUAACAGAGAUUGGUAUUGAUGGUAUCACGGUUGUUGGAGAGGUGUCUGAGAGGGAGAAUCAUGUGGAAAGCUUAAAUUUAGAAUGAUGUGUCAAUUUUAUUUUGUAACUGCAUGGAGGCCUAGUGUUUUCUCAUAUUCAAUUUAUUAUUUGACUCAUUGCUUUAUUAUAUAUAUUUUUAUUUUUUGCGUAGCUGAGAACCUCAGACAAGGUUAUGUAUUUACAUGCUCAUGCUUUAACAAAAGAUAAUGUAUUAUUUUUUGUUUCUAUACCGAACUAGAUAUUUUACUCUUAUGAAAUACUAGAGAUGUUUGGUGUAGGUGAUUAGGAAGUUUUAUUUUUUAAUUAUUUUUUAUUUUUUUAUUUAAAAAUAUUUUUUUUGAUAAUCGACUGUUGAUAUUAUGUUCCAUAUGUCCUUUUUAAGUUUUUGGUGCUUAUUAAAGCACCAGAGGGGGGUUAUGUGGGAGAAAUUAGGUACAUAUAUGGAUAAAUAUAUUGUCCUAUAUAAUGGCAUUUGCCAUUCUGGUAAGGUACAUUGUCUAUUGUAUAGGACAGGAAGCCAGAGUGGGGCCAUGGGAGAGGGCAACACCUAGGGCAGCUGGACAUACAAAGGUCAGAGGUUAUCUAAGGAGGGGGUCAGCCAAAGGACCAAUUGAUGGAUUACAGACAUCAAUCACAUCACAGGAGACAAGUCUGUUUGAUCUUAGACAACCAUAUGAAGAGAAGGCGACCAGAACAGCUAGGCACCCUAAAGCUAAAGGAGAUGAAAGACACCAAAAGGGACACAUGGAGUUAAUUACAGGGUAUGAACACAGGCCACAGGAAAGGGGAAUGUAUAGUAUUUUUAGUAUAGCUGAGCAUGCUAAAAACAGAAGAGACACAUAGUCUGCUGACCCUAGAUAACACACAAACAGGAGAACGCAUUAAGCUGAGUGAAGGGUCAAAGCAAGGGUCUUGUCACCAUUAGGAUCUAAUGGAAAGCAGAUGGGGGUGUUAUUGGGCUGAACAAGCAGGAAGCACGGAUUGGGAUGUAACUUAAUUUGCAUAUGGGAGGGACUUAUAUGGUAGGUGUAUAACUCAGAGCGAGGGCUCUGAAAAAGUGUGUGUGUUCCGCGGACCGCUCCGGCUUAUGAUACUGUUGUAUUAAAAGUCUAUAUUGAUUUUCACAAA